CGAAGACGGUUCGUCGAUCCGACAAGCGGGUGCGGAGUUAUCGCCAAAACAAGUACUUGAGGGUUUGGUUGCCCCGAGGAGUGGAAGCGACGUACGAGAAUCGCAGCGUUGGGUUUUCUAAUUUCGUGGCACUACCAAGAGGGCCGAGCGCGAGUUCACACGGCGAGGAUCGCGGUAAGGGCUUAGCGCCCUAGAUGCAUUAGUUUACUUUCCUUUGCAUUAGAGCCACCCUUUUGUACUUGAGAGUAGAUGAUGUAUAGGGUGUGAGGUAUCAUUUUGGAAAUGUAAACUCAUGUUGUAUUUGGCAGUUUAAAUGUAAAUCGAUGUAUUAAAGAGGUUGAA